rnacentral:lncRNA from 1 species
AACAGCUCCGGGGACCACUAACAAGGGGAGUGUUUACGGGGGUGGGAUGAAUUAGGAGAUUGGGAUUGACAUAUAAACACUACUGUGUAUUGUAUAAAGUGGCAGAGAGCCCAGCGUUCCUGCCUUGCGCCUUCCUGCUGUGACCUUGGGAAAGCUGCUUGUGAUGUCAUGCCAUGCCGCCUUGACCUUGGGUUGCUGAGACCCUAGCAACACUCCCCACCAGGCUGUGGACCCAGCCUUCAGCACAUACUUAGUGCCAGGCACUGCUAGGAGCUGGGGCCAUGCAGCAGACAAGACAAGUGGCCCUACUCUGUUGACCCCGAAAGCCUGGCCGGGAACACGGGUGUUAACCAAUUCAUCACAAGUUUGGGAGGUGAACCAGUUCAGCCCCAGAGUGGCGUGGCCUGGCCCGGUUUAUGCACUGAAUAUUCCCCCGCCUGCCGGGAGCAUCUGCCUGUUCGGGACCUCGGGUCAGGGCUAGUUCUGUGGGUAACACACACAUCAUCAUCACCGUCAGUAAAUGAGAGUGGCUUGGCUAAUGGGUCGCUUUGGGACAUAGGUGAUCUGGAAAAUGUGUCCACGUUUCUUGAACAGAGGCAGAUUUCAGAGGUGGUGCUAAUCUUUUUAUGGUUUAUGGCAUAUGCUACUGAAAUGUGAGGGUGCUGGGCACCCUGGCCUCUGGCCUGCAUCCCCCAACACGGUUCCCACACCUGGAAGGAACGCCUGCCCUCUGUCACACCAGGUGUUCUCAUGGAGGCUGUGACAGCACAUGCUUGCAGCACUCAGGAUUUUCCAGUGCCUGGGACCUGGCACUGGGCCGACUCCGUGCCACUUGAGGUGAGGCACUGGUCCCCCUGGGCACUGACAUCCCAAGGCUUCCCUCGGGGAGCUGCUCUGGUCCACGUGGUGAGGAUGUUGGAGCAGCCUCAGUAGACCGGUCGUGUGACCGAAUCUCACCACCCAAGGCACAGAUCUGAGUUCCAGGACGGAAGAGGUGAUGGAUGAGAAAGUGCCUCCUUCCAGCACUGCCAUCCGCCUCCCAGGCCCUGGAGAUGGGCCAGCCGUGGUGGCUCUGGGCCGCUGGGGCAAAGCUGCAGAGCCUGGUGGUGGGUGAACUCGCACAAGAAACUGGCCCCAGAAGGUGGGAGCUCAAGGCCAGCUAGAAUCCUCCGUUCAGUCCUCAGUGGUCGGGGGGCUUCCACUGGAGCUGCGCUGCCAGGCAUUGAGGUGGGACCGAGCAAGCAGGCAGCCUGCCCUCGGAAAGCACAGGAUUUCCCCACUUUGUGACACAAGAGGAAGAGGCACAAUAAAAGUGUAUAGAGCG